GGAUGUGUUAAUCUUUAACCACUAUCUUCCUUUUCAGUUGCAAAUUUUGUUUGGAUUGUUUCAAGCUGCUUUGUUAGGGGAGGGAGGACUGGAAAACUGACAGCUUUCCUUGGCUGGUCUCCCCUUGGCCUUCAUGUGAUUUGAGAACAUGGCAUGUGAUACAUGGUUCCUUCCAGGCAAGCCUCAGUCUGAUUUGGGCUGCUUCUUUUAUACCUGUUGUUUCCUGGACACAGGGAAAUGAUGGUCCAUCCUGAAAUGGACAUAUCAAGACUUGGAGGUGGCCUUUUGAGGGAAGGUAACAUUCUCAAAUCAUGAUGCUGAAAAAGGCUAAAGUUCUAUGAGAUGAGGAACGGUUAAAAUGGAAUCGUCCUUCUACAAACUAAGUCAACCAUGGAGGGAACACAAAUGUUGGAAAAACUUAGACAAAGAAAGAACACCCUUGGCUCUCCUUGAAGACUGUCAUUAACAGUAUGUGGAAACUGAACUCUAGGACAACCGAGAACCUGAGCUUCAAAAGGGGCAAAGAGUCCAGUAAACUGACAGAACCAGGUAAGAGAUAGGACAGAAAUGACAAAGUUCCUAGUGAAAAAGAGACGGGGAACAGCAACCAAAGAGCUAG
rnacentral:lncRNA from 1 species